UAUAUAUAUAUAUAUAUAUAUUUAUGCCUUGUGAUUGAAUUAUAUUUGUAUUGAAUAUGUGAAUAGGUUUAUCCAAAGUCAAGGAAGUGGUAAGAGAAAAAGAAUAGGAUUACUUUAUUAUCCUAUAACUUUUGGUAAGUAUUUAAUAGACUAAACUUUGUGUAUAUUGAGUAGGAACUGCUGUUUGAUUACUUGAUAAUUUCUUGGUUGACUGAGUUGAUAUUAGUUAUGUUUUUGGCUUGUUAUAAAGUGAAUUGAUUGUGAUGUGUUUUGAAGUGAAUUGAUUGUGAUGUGUUGUGAAGUGAAAUGAUUGUGAUUAAGGAUUGAUGACUUUUGUAUGGAUAUUGUGUGAUCGGGAAAGCUGAGCUGGGCGGAUAGCUACCCGAGUAUGUGAGAUGGCAAGACUGAGCCGGGCGGAUAGUCUUGUCAAGUGGUUACUGAAAUUUAAAAAUGUGAGAAAAUGUAAGGAUGAGUCAUCUGAUCAUAAUUUGAUAGAAAUAAUGUGGAAUUGAAUUAUUUGACUUGGUUGAGUUUGAGAUUAUUUGCAUUACGUGAGAUGAAUUAUAUGUUUAUGAGAAUAACUGAAAUGGUUGAUUUUGUGAUUGUUAGUUAAGUGUUGGUAUAAUUUUCUGUAUUGAUAAAGAUUUAAUAAUUCUAGCCUAAUAUACUAUAGUUUAG
rnacentral:lncRNA from 1 species